UAACAACGCAGAGUACAAGGCAAAAAACGCUGUUUUUCGGUAAUUUUUGUGUUUCCGAGCAAAAUUAGCUCGCCCCAGUCCUUUUUGAAAGUUUAGAGCAUAAACAAAAAGAAAAACACUUUGCAAAAUAUUUCAAAAAGUUAGCAAAAAAAUAUUUUGAGUUAGUUUU